rnacentral:lncRNA from 1 species
CAAGACAUUGGUUUGAAAGUUGAAAUUUCUAUGGCUUUGAUUGGGUUUUGAGAAUUAUAUGAUGUACAGUCCAUUAUUGCCCUAAGUUGAUCAGUGUACAUUUCUUCAUUUCCAUAUCACCUUUCGCUGUUCAUUCCCUUAUCUCCAUAUUCUUUUGCAUGUAGGUGCAAAUUUAGACUACUUCAUUGUUGAAUUGCAUCAUGAAGGGCACUUUUAUGCUAAGCUAAACAAUCUGACAUAUGAACAUGGAUUUGUGCUUUUCUACGAUUUCUUCUAUGUCUUAUUAUUUAUGAAAGAUAAUUUGACAAAGUUUUUAAGUGCAGUUGGUAAUGAUUUGAUGUUGCAGUUUAACUAAAAAGAACAAAAAAUGAGUUUAGGGAAGGGAUUGACUAGAUUGGAGGAUGAGAAGGGUAUUAAAGAAAUGCUUCGGUAUAGAGAUGUGCAUCUAGUAGUGUAGAUAUAUGUUGUAAUCCAUUGCAAUUGCAUGCAUUGCCAUUGCAUGCAUCGAUCUAAUAAGUUAAAAUGCAAUGCGAUGAAACACAAACAUUUGAAUGUUGUUACGUACCUUCUGUGGAAGAAAACAAGAGUGAGGAGCCUGAAAUUGAUUGGUCAGGUCAGUUUUUUCACGAGAAUGCUAAAGAAUUGUGGUCAGAUUACGAGGAAACCCUACAAUACCAUCAUGAAGAAGAUCAAAAUAUGGGUGAUAUAGCUGUUGAAGAAGAUGAAGUCAAUGUUGAAACUCAUAAUGAUGACAAACGAAGUAGGGGAGAUGAGGUUGAAGGUUUGGUGGAAUCUAAUUACAAGAUGGAGGAUCAACCAGUGUCUAAUGCUGAAAUUGAGAAUAAUAGGGUUAAUUUUUAUUUUGGAUUUGGAGACAACUUCAGCAGAGUUAACUAUUCUAGGGAUGAGAGCAACCUAAACUCGAACAUGUCAAAAAUAUGGUGAACCAGGACAAAUAGGAGGACCUGUAAAGGGACACCACCACCAUCAAGUAACUAGGGAC